rnacentral:misc_RNA from 1 species
AUCUUUAUUAUUAUAAUAAUAACAAAAAUUAUGUUUUAACUUAUGAGCUGGUUUUAAAUACAGAGUUUUGCGAGACCAUGGACAGAAGCCAAGGCUCGCUAAAAGAUUGGUAAUGAUCCUUCCGCAGGUUCACCUACGGAAA